rnacentral:rRNA from 1 species
CGAACGCCGGCGGCGUGCCUAAUACAUGCAAGUGGGACGCAAGGGAACACACCCGUGCUUGCACACCGUGUUUUCUUGAGUCGCGAACGGGUGAGUAACGCGUAGGUAACCUGCCUAUUAGCGGGGGAUAACUAUUGGAAACGAUAGCUAAUACCGCAUAAUAUUAAUUAUUGCAUGAUAAUUGAUUGAAAGAUGCAAGCGCAUCACUAGUAGAUGGACCUGCGUUGUAUUAGCUAGUUGGUAAGGUAAGAGCUUACCAAGGCGACGAUACAUAGCCGACCUGAGAGGGUGAUCGGCCACACUGGGACUGAGACACGGCCCAGACUCCUACGGGAGGCAGCAGUAGGGAAUCUUCGGCAAUGGACGAAAGUCUGACCGAGCAACGCCGCGUGAGUGAAGAAGGUUUUCGGAUCGUAAAGCUCUGUUGUAAGUCAAGAACGUGUGUGACGAUGUGGA